UACAGAGGUCUCGAGCGUUGUUCGGAUUCAUUGGGCGUAAAGGGUGCGUAGGUGGCUAGGUAAGUCGGAUGUGAAAUCCCGGGGCUCAACCCCGGAACUGCAUUCGAUACUGCCUGGCUAGAGUACUGAAGAGGAGAUUGGAAUUUACGGUGUAGCAGUGAAAUGCGUAGAUAUCGUAAGGAAGACCAGUGGCGAAGGCGGAUCUCUGGACAGUUACUGACACUGAGGCACGAAGGCCAGGGGAGCAAACGGG
rnacentral:rRNA from 1 species